rnacentral:rRNA from 1 species
UACAGAGGGUGCGAGCGUUAAUCGGAAUUACUGGGCGUAAAGCGUGCGCAGGCGGCUAUGCAAGACAGAUGUGAAAUCCCCGGGCUCAACCUGGGAACUGCAUUUGUGACUGCAUAGCUAGAGUACGGUAGAGGGGGAUGGAAUUCCGCGUGUAGCAGUGAAAUGCGUAGAUAUGCGGAGGAACACCGAUGGCGAAGGCAAUCCCCUGGACCUGUACUGACGCUCAUGCACGAAAGCGUGGGGAGCAAACAGG